UAGUUAAUUUUUAAAAGUAUACUCUGCCCAAUGAUUAAUUAAAUGGCUGCAGUAUUUUGACUGUGCAAAGGUAGCAUAAUAAUUAGUCUUUUAAUUGAAGGCUUGUAUGAAUGAGUUAAUGAGAAGUUAGUUUUAUCUAUUAAAUAAUUUUAAUUUAAUUUUUAAGUAAAAAAGCUUAAUUUUUUAUUUGGGACGAUAAGACCCUAUAGAACUUUAUUUAUUAUUUAUUUUAAUUUAAUUUAGUUUUUAGAUAUUUUAAUUAAUUUAUUAGUUUUGUUGGGGUGAUAAAUAAAUUUAACUUUAUUUUUAAAAUUCAUUUAUUUAUGUAAAAUUUGAUCCACUAUUUUGUGAUAAUAAGAUUAAGUUACCUUAGGGAUAACAGCGUAAUUUUAAUGGGAAGUUCAUAUUUAUAUUAAAGUUUGCGACCUCGAUGUUGAAUUAAGAUAAGAAUGAGGGGUAG
rnacentral:rRNA from 1 species